rnacentral:lncRNA from 1 species
UAUCCGGAUGAAACUCCCUCAAUUUUCAAGACCGAGGUCUAUUCUAAUGAGAAUUUACUCAAUACAAUAUUACAAACGUAUGUUUGAUGAGGCAUUAAAAUGAUACCUAAGGCCUUACUUUUUGCUAGGAAUAAAAGUUUAUUCUUGAUUUCGGGUUUCUCUCUCAUUUAUAUCGUCUCAAGCAAGAUGACCCCGUGAAUUAAAAGACCGAUUUAUAUGACAGGAAAUGGAACUCCGUCAUGAUUUUUUAUAUUAUUCAUCAUACUUCCGCCUGAGCCAGACAUGGUUUAUAGCUCUGCGGGUGCGCUGUUGGUAUCCCGAUUGAUCUCGAGCAGCG